CUCCUUCUCUCACUCUCUUUCUUUCUCUAUCUGUGGAAUCGUUCCUAGAUAAUAACUAAACACAUUGUUUAAUUCUCUUCUCAGGUUUCUUGUUCAACACGUGAGUACAAACGAAAUAACCGGACAAACUGUAUACGGUCGUAAUUUUGGACCACUCUUUAAAUACUGAACGUAAUGAAUAUUUACCCGGAAAUUUAUGAACAUUAUUCGUGAAAUGUACAUAAAAAUCUACAUGUAUACUACUACUAUAUACAUGUAUUUAAAACUAACACAAACUGUUGUUUACUCAAAGUUUAAGUAAGUAAACAAGGUCAAAGUUUUGUUUCUUAUUGAUAUUUACUGGUGAAUGUUUUAAAGUGCUCAACAGAAUUUUGAGAUGGAUAGCAUUUUAAAACCAUUUUUUAUAUAUUUUUAAAUGCGUGUUAAUAUAUUACAUAUCAUGUACAUAAAUUCUUGUGCCAUUAAUGCCAAACCAUUAUAAGGUUGUUUACUGUUUCUUUUACGACAGUUUAUAUGGUUUUGAGUGUGUGCGAGAAUAAAAUGAGAGAAAGAAAGAGAGGGAGGAGAGAAAAAGAGAGAGAGGGAGGAGAGAGAGAGAAAGUUUAUAUUAUACAGUAGGUCAUUGGUUAUGUACUUUUACGUAUUCAUUAUGUAAACUCGUUUAAUCAUACUGUUCAUACUUAUUGCUAUAUAAUAACAAGUCAGUGCUUCUUAUAAUAGUCCUUGGUAUAUCAUUACAAGACAUUGUACUCUAUAAACAGGAUUGUAAAACUGAAAGUGCCAUGUUUCUUUUGCCUUUUCCAAAAUGUAAAGCUUAAGUGAUACAUUAUUCAGGAAGACUCAAUUAUUGAUAAAUUCUGAAUUAACCACUCAUAAACUUAUGCCGAUACUUUUCAUGUUAACGCUUUUUUUGUAUUUCUGGCUAUGCAAUAGUAUUUAUUUUUUAAAUUUAUAUAAUUAUCUGAUGCAAAUACAACCAAUGUCCUAGUCUUUGUUGAUUCACAACUGAUUUAGAUUUACAUACAUGUAUAUACCAAGGAACAGGUAAGGUGCCUUUCCAAUGUGAUUUUUAGUAUGUGAAAAUGUACAUGUAUAUUCUGACAGAAUAUUUUUAUACCAAAAUGAAAUUAAAAUAAUAAAAC
rnacentral:misc_RNA from 1 species